rnacentral:lncRNA from 1 species
AGUAUGUCCAAAUAUUCUCAUAAUAGUCUUUGAUGGAUCCAUCCAAAUAUAAAAAGAAUGUGUGACAAUUAGUUUGCCUAGCUAAGUUCCUAUAUAGUAAAUGAAAUUUAAAUUUCGGAAAAAAAAAAUCAAAACCAUUAGUGUGCUUUUCAACGUGCAAUUUUUGGAAUCAUCAUAAGUGUGGAAAAACAUACAGCUAACCUUCUAUGAAAAGAGAAACAACCUGGCACAACCGUUGGUUUGAAUAAUUUUGAAAUUCAACGAAACUCGUUGGCUUUUUAAAGUCUUCUCCGAGAUCAAAGGCUAAUCUCUCCAAAACCAACGGUCCAGAUUCAAUAUAGCCCCUCUAGAAGAUUUAUUACUGACCUUGUCCGUAUCAACAGUGCCGUAGAGCUUGGGGCGAGUAUAAAAAUGGGGCUUCUUAUAAAAAAAAUUUCCUGUCAAAAGUAUAAUAUAUAUUUGAAAACAUA